GACGAACGCUGGCGGCGUGCUUAACACAUGCAAGUCGAACGGAAAGGCCCUGCUUUUGUGGGGUGCUCGAGUGGCGAACGGGUGAGUAACACGUGAGUAACCUGCCCUUGACUUUGGGAUAACUUCAGGAAACUGGGGCUAAUACCGGAUAGGAGCUCCUGCUGCAUGGUGGGGGUUGGAAAGUUUCGGCGGUUGGGGAUGGACUCGCGGCUUAUCAGCUUGUUGGUGGGGUAGUGGCUUACCAAGGCUUUGACGGGUAGCCGGCCUGAGAGGGUGACCGGCCACAUUGGGACUGAGGUACGGCCCAGACUCCUACGGGAGGCAGCAGUGGGGAAUAUUGCACAAUGGGCUGAAGCCUGAUGCAGCAACGCCGCGUGCGGGAUGACGGCCUUCGGGUUGUAAACCGCUUUCGCCUGUGACGAAGCGUGAGUGACGGUAAUGGGUAAAGAAGCACCGGCUAACUACGUG
rnacentral:rRNA from 1 species